UUGUUGCAUUGACAUGGUAGGACUGGCAUGUUCCUGAAGUUGUGUUUGAUGGUUAGCCACUAAUAUGGUUCUCGAUGUGCAGCCUUUUAACUUCUGUGCUCAACGUGCAGCCUUAAUCCUUGUGCUUGAUGUGUAGUUUUUAUCCUUUUGUAUAGGCUGAUUUAUUAAGAGGUUUUACACUGUCAGGAAAGUGGGGCAGGCAAACAUUUAUGACUGCAGUACCUUCAAUGGGCUGAUGGCUGUGUUGGAAUGCUGAAUAACCGUAUCUUCUCUGUAUCUAUCAUAUUUGGAUUUUGGUCUUGGAAUUGAGUGCUGAGAUUGGGUAACUGUGCUGAAGCUGUACUUUUGUUCAAUGUGUAGUGGCUUUGUAUAGGGCCGGGGCUGCAUCGGCCCUUAACCUCCCCUGGUGUAGGUGAUUUGGGUGGCGUGGCACUUCUGUGUGGUGGUAGGCGGUGGAUAAGAGCAGGCCCGACCCUCCUUGCCAUUUUGAGGAGAGCUAUUUUCUACAUCUGUGGAUUUUAUUAUUGAUGCAUGGUUUUAUUGAUGUUUUUAAUGUCUUGCUUGGGAAUAAAAUUGUGAUAUUCAACAAACUACGUUUACGGUUUUAAAAAAAUCAAUACUUGAUUUGUGGAGGGCUCCUCCUGCCCUAAAUAAGGAGGUGGCGUAGUCAGUUUAUAGUUUCUUACACUACACUAAAACGAACCAAACCCGUGCAACAACUCUGUGAUUAUUAUUAUUAUUAU